UAUUUGUUAUAACCAAAUACAUUUUCAUCAAAUAUAUGGAAGUUACAGCUCUUUUUUUUUUUCUCUCAUCUAAAUAGAGUCAAUUCAAUUAGUUCUGUUGUAAGAACUAAACCAGAGGUGAAACACAAAUGGGCGGAUUUGCAACUCAAAUCAAAGAAAAAGGAGGCAGAAAGAUUCAAGCUCCAGAAUCUGACAGGUGGUGGACGAGCACCACCUGCUUUAACACCGCUUGAGUCAAAGGUUAUUUCUAUCAUUCCCAGAGUUGCCUGCUAUGGAAUUACUGGUGGUAUUGACACCGACAGUGAUGAAAAUACAGACCCAACUGGAAGUGCAGAUGAC